UAGUCUAUUUGAUGACAAUACUUGAAAUUGCUUAUGAGACAUUCUUAAAUUACAAUUUUGAUAUGAGGUUAGGGCUUUAUUGCAUUUUUUUAAUAGCAUUCUAAAACUUAACUAAAUCAAUUGAAAAUUUUAGGAUUCGAUUGCAUUAUUUGAUAAAGUUUUAGGACUUUAUUAAACUAGUUUAUGACUAGAUUGCAUGUCUUGCAUAAAGUUUAGGAUUUAAGAUGCGAUCUUCCCAAAUAAAUACAUUGAAAAUGUGCAUUAUUGCUGGUUCGUCCCAACAAAUAAUCUUGUCUUUAUUAUAAUGUACAUUCAAUUAUAUUAAUCUUAUUUCUUCUCACCGUCCUCUAUUUAUAUAUCCACAGAAGCACAAACAAAGGCACAAACAAGAACACUGAAAAGCAACGGGCCAAAGUCACCAUGCAUCUCAAUUUGAGCAGGGCUCUCCUCCUUUCCUAUCUAUUGACAGUCACCCUCUCCUGCGAAGCCGCACCUGGAGAGCUCAACGCCACUCCACCGCCCGAGUGCCGCAUUGAUUACCAGCAAACUGGAGUUGGAGCUCGUGGCGGCCUCAAAUGGUUAUAACAUCUACAAUAAUCUGCAGCCAGACCCUGCCGGCUGUGGCAGAGGCACCCCAAAUGGAGCACGGUACUCGGGCUGCGUUCCACCGCCAAACCCGGUAUCAAAAUGUGACAUUUAUAACAGGAACUACCCCCACUGUUGAUGAACCUUUCAAAUUGGCGUCUGCCAGUAGCGCUUCCUUAUGCUCCAACCUGGUGUCCCCAAACUGUCAACCAUAAAAAUUUGUACCUAGAUUUUUAUGUGUUGAGGAUGUUAGCAAUUGCAAACUGCAAUUGUAGUCGGACUUAUCAGUUCAAUAUAUGUACCCUGCGUACAUUUUAUACUUGUGUAUGUCAAUGUAUCUAUCUUCUAGGAUUAACACAUUCGGUCGGAGUAUCGAAUAAGAAUGAUAACAUUUUCAAGCGUUUCGAUUUCUUGAGAUAGGUUGAAUGUUUUUUCUUCUGGGCGGGCCCACAUAACAACUCAAUCCAUCCCAGACAAACUCAAGGGCCAAUAGGCUCAACCUAAAACCUGAUGCAACUAAAACCAGAAUCCAACUUAGAGACGGAACUCAUGAAAUUAUACAGCAGCCUUACAGGUGCAGAUUCAUCCUCAUCGUAUCAACUGGCGUUCUAUUUCUCACAGUUCAGCUACAUCAAGCACAAACUUUUAAAACAUCUAAUCCUCUAAUCGCUGCAUACAUUAUUCGAUAUCCGCAGGUACUGGAUUCCUUCUAUCAUGAAUCAUGGUUUUAGAAACAAUUCGAACGUAGAAGGAUAUCUCAGCAACCACCUUGCCGAUGCGGAGGAGCACGAGUACAAAAGUAAUUCAUAGCAUCUUACCAGUCGCAGGAGGAGGAAUCUGCCCGGAGGCAAACCGAGCCAAUCCUGAAGCGGGCUCGAAGGACGAAAUGAGCAAGCAAUUACG
rnacentral:lncRNA from 1 species